GGAAACCUGGAAACUACCGUUGGAUCGAAAAAUAGACGUCUGAUAUUCGUCCACGUAAUCACGAGUAAAAAUUUACUCAUAAGUUGACUCAUGAGUAAAAAGUUUACUAGGAGCAAAAUUUACUCAUGGUGACAUGGACAAAUCUUAGACGUCCAUUUUUCGAUCCAACGGUAGUUUCCAGGUUUCC
rnacentral:pre_miRNA from 1 species